rnacentral:lncRNA from 1 species
GGUUAAGAGACUCAAACAAGCAAAAGAAGAAGCAGAAGCUGAAGUAGAAAGAUACAGGCUCCAAAGAGAAAAAUACUUCCUUCAAUAUGAAGCUCAAUAUGCAGACAGUGAUCAUGUAGAAACGAAAAUUCAACACGAUAUGGAAACGCAAUUGCAAAACUGUAAAAGAGAUGUAGAACAAAACAAGGAUAAGGUAAUUGAAGACCUUAUAUCCUUUGUUACAGAUGUUGAACCAAUAGUCAAUCCCAAUUUUUUUAUUUUGAAAUCGUUUAAUAAAAUCUAAGAACAGCAUA